rnacentral:rRNA from 1 species
UGCAGGAUGACUGCCCUAUGGGUUGUAAACUGCUUUUGUUUGGGAAGAAACCCCCGAUCGUGAUCGGGGCUGACGGUACCAUACGAAUAAGCAUCGGCUAACUCCGUGCCAGCAGCCGCGGUAAUACGGAGGAUGCAAGCGUUAUCCGGAUUCAUUGGGUUUAAAGGGUGCGCAGGCGGAAUAUUAAGUCAGUGGUGAAAUCCUGCAGCUUAACUGUAGAACUGCCAUUGAUACUGAUAUUCUUGAAUAUAGUUGAGGUGGGCGGAAUGUGUAAUGUAGCGGUGAAAUGCUUAGAUAUUACACAGAACACCAAUUGCGAAGGCAGCUCACUAAACUAAUAUUGACGCUGAGGCACGAAAGCGUGGGUAGCAAACAGGAUUAGAUACCCUGGUAGUCCACGCUGUAAACUAUGAUCACUCGCUGUUGGCAAUACAUCGUCAGCGGCUGAGCGAAAGCAUUAAGUGAUCCACCUGGGGAGUACGGUCGCAAGAUUGAAACUCAAAGGAAUUGACGGGGGCCCGCACAAGCGGAGGAACAUGUGGUUUAAUUCGAUGAUACGCGAGGAACCUUACCUGGGCUUAAAUGCAGAGCGACGUCCGCCGAAAGGUGGAUUCCUUCGGGCGAUCUGCAAGGUGCUGCAUGGUUGUCGUCAGCUCGUGCCGUGAGGUGUCGGGUUAAGUCCCAUAACGAGCGCAACCCUUAUCGUUAGUUGCCAGCGGGUAAUGCCGGGGACUCUAACGAAACUGCCGGUGUAAACCGUGAGGAAGGUGGGGAUGACGUCAAAUCAGCACGGCCCUUAUGUUCAGGGCUACACACGUGUUACAAUGGUCGGUACAGAGGACAGCUACCACGCAAGUGGAUGCUAAUCUCGAAAACCGGUCUCAGUUCGGAUUGAAGUCUGCAACUCGACUUCAUGAA